CCACUUUUUUAGGCACUCAUUAUCAUUGGGAUUUUGAACAACUGAAAAAUACAUGCUAUUCCUUUUAUUUUCGGUCCUCAAAAUUCCAACUCAUGAGGGUCACUUUUCUAGUAGGAAAAAAGUUCUUUUCUAUGCCACGUUAAAAAUAUACUCAAUUCCUCAGGUUGGCAAGCAAGAAUGGUACCCUGGAAUGUGCAAGGAGAUAUCCAUGCCUUUGAAGCCAGAAGUGCCAAGAUUCAUACAUAAGAGGCCACCCCAGGAACAGAUUCUCAGGUUUACAAGCCCAGGAACUCAUGUUGGUCAGCCCAUAGAGUCCAGGUGAAUGGAAAUACACUCUGCAAAGUCACCAAAGACUGGCGAAUUCACAAACUCACAGCGAGAAGCUAGCUGAGAUGCUUGCAAUCAUGAAGUCUGCUGGGCAACCUGGAGCAAGCCUGCUGGUCUUGACUCAACACCUCUAUUGGACUGUGUUAGAAACUCACCAAAAAAUCCUUGCCCCAACUCUGCCUUUUCAGCUUCUAUUAUAAGACUUAUCAGACCCAAACAGGCUUAGAUCUGAAAAUGUCCAUUGAAGAACAUUUAAUCCAACUUUCAAUAUUUGUCCUAUAUGUGCAACCUAAAUAAAGAUACUUAGCUUCUUUAAACCUCAGCCUUCUCAAAAAUUAC